CUCCUGACCUCAAAUGACCCACCUCUGCCUCCCAAAGCGCUGGGAUUCCAGGCAUGAGCCACCGCGCCAGGACCCAAGGCCCUUAAGUUUUAAGGCCUCAUUCUUCAGUCAGGUUUUCCUUGUUCCCGCCUGUUCAGCCAGUUGUUUUUAAGUUGGUGUUUAAGGAGAAACUAACAGUGAAAACGGAGUCGUUGACAGAGGAAAAGUUGGAAUGCAGCCUCUGGUGCUGUUUGAGCGAUCCCUCUCCCCAGGGCCUGGCCGCGCUGCUGUGUUCUGGAAAGGCCCAUUGUACCCUCGAGGCGGCAGAUAAAAUGAAAAAGCGAGAAAACAGCUUCUAUCACCAUGACAGCCACCUGGAAACACCUAUCUCUGUUGGCAACGGGGAGCAUUUGGAAAGUGAACUCCCGGUUCUCCGGCCUUUGGACUGAGACUGAAUUGCAGUGGCAGCUUUCCUGAGUCUCCCGCUGGCAGACAGCAGAUGGCAGGACUUCUUGGCCUCCAAUCAUCAUGAAGUGCUUGGUCCCUGACAGAUGCCCACUCAACACUUGCUGAUGGAGAGCUUGUCAAUUUCAUCUAACAAACCGGAAUCACUGGGCCAUCCAGGAAUCGAAGCAGAACAUGAAGAAAUUCCAUGCAAACAGGGCUGUUAAAAGCCAACCCGCCAGAGAGGGCAGAACGGAGGAAGGACUAGAGGGUUCCACGUCCUGGAGGCAGAUCUUUCCUUGGACCAUUGGCCACAGUGCCGCCUCUACUGCAAAACAUGUGCCCAGGAGGGAAAGCCAGGCAUCUUCCUAUUUCUUCCUGGAGAGAGGAGCACGAGGUGGGGGGCUGCUGGAUUUCUGGGGAGGAAACUGCACAGAUGGAUGGAGGAGCCCACCUCACUCCCCUGCCUCUCUUGAGGAGGUGCCCUACCAGCUGGGGAGUCAGCCCCACAGAAUCACUGCUGUUAAGGGGCUCAGUCCUGCAGGAGUGCCAGGAAGGGCUUCCGUUUCCUCUGUGAGUAUUGCUACUAUGUAUGUGAAAAUCACACAAGGGCAAGGCCUUCACCCUGUGGGUCUAUUAAAACCAAGUGCAGCAUUGGCAAGGUUUCUGCCUGGAAAUGAUCAAUGACCAUCAUGAAACUCAGGCAUUUAGGGUGACCUUGCAGACAGAUGUCCCCUCUGAAAGGUCUUAGUGUUGUGCAGCCUGCUCUGGGGCUGAGGGGAAAAGGCUGGCAUGUGGCACGUCUCCAGCAUAUGCAGGUGGUGUGCCUGCUCUUCCCAAGGGAUCCCUCAUAGGCCUCCACGGCAGCGUGGAACAUUCCACAACAAUCCUCACGGCUGAUGCCGGCCACUGAGGUUGGCAGGGGUCCAUGUCUUGCUCAAAGUUGCAGAGGUAGGAGUGGCAAGUGGUCCAGUGACCCCCAUCUCAUGGACUGAAUUCCAUCCUCCUAUGUGAAUAAGAGGUUGUACUAAAUGGAGCUUUAAUUGGAAGUGGGAAUCAAAGAACCAGGUCACUGCCCAUCUCCACCAUUUACUCAUUAUCUUUCCUAGCCUGGGUCACUGGCUUUUAAUUUUCCAGUCUAUAAAUAGAACUGCUCCAUGAGAUCAUGGAAGGGUGUCUCCAAAGUCCUUCAACAGGGACAGGUGUCUGUUCUCACUGUUCACUAGUGUCGCCAUGAGGCAGGGCCAGGUCAGGGCCAGGCGGGAGGUGGUUUUGAGGGCAGGUGGUCCCAAGGGCUCUGCCCCUUGUAGGCAUUUUACUCUCAUCAGAAUUAGGGUUUGCUUAAUUCUAGCUGGAGUCCUAGUGGGUGCUGUUCACACAGCUGUGGGCUAUGGGUGGCUCUGGCUCACCUGGAAGAAUUUUUGAGAAUUUUGGGGUGUUUGCUUAACUGCCUGGAGCUGUGUCUGGGCCAGCCCCCUAGAGGAUGCUUCCAUGUGUUAGGUGAGAAGACAAGUUACAAAGUGGCAUGUACAGAAGCCACCCCGUUUUAAUACAGAUGUGUGUGUACCUAUGUAACAGUUUGGAAGACAAACCAUUAUGAAAAUUUACCAUGUCAGCAUAUGGUUUCUGGGACUAAUUUUCCUUUUAGUGUGUUCUGUAGUAAGAACUACUUUUAUAAUUAAAAUAAAACUGGAGAAUUCUGCCAAUGA